GAUGAAGAACGUAGCGAAAUGCGAUACUUGGUGUGAAUUGCAGAAUCCCGUGAACCAUCGAGUCUUUGAACGCAAGUUGCGCCCGAAGCCAUCAGGUUGAGGGCACGUCUGCCUGGGCGUCACAUAUCGUUGCCCAAUGCCUAUUGCAGUGCAAUAGGAAUUUCUAGGGCGAAUGAUGGCUUCCCGUGAUCGUUGUUGCCUCGCGGUUGGUUGAAAAUCGAGUCCUUGGUAGGGUGUGCCAUGGUAGAUGGUGGUCGAGUUAGAACGAUACCGAUCAUGUGCAUGCUCCCCAAAAUAUGGCCUCUAUGACCCACACGCGUCUUUUGACGCUCAUGACGAGACCUCAGGUCAGGCGGGGCUACCCGCUGAAUUUAAGCAUAUCAAUAAGCGGAGGA
rnacentral:misc_RNA from 1 species